UAAUGGGUGAUGGCGUGCCUUUUGUAGAAUGAACCGGCGAGUUACGAUUUGAUGCAAGGUUAAGCAGUAAAUGUGGAGCCGUAGCGAAAGCGAGUCUGAAUAGGGCGUUUAGUAUUUGGUCGUAGACCCGAAACCAGGUGAUCUACCCUUGGUCAGGUUGAAGUUCAGGUAACACUGAAUGGAGGACCGAACCGACUUACGUUGAAAAGUGAGCGGAUGAACUGAGGGUAGCGGAGAAAUUCCAAUCGAACCUGGAGAUAGCUGGUUCUCUCCGAAAUAGCUUUAGGGCUAGCCUCAAGUGAUGAUUAUUGGAGGUAGAGCACUGUUUGGACGAGGGGCCCCUCUCGGGUUACCGAAUUCAGACAAACUCCGAAUGCCAAUUAAUUUAACUUGGGAGUCAGAACAUGGGUGAUAAGGUCCGUGUUCGAAAGGGAAACAGCCCAGACCACCAGCUAAGGUCCCAAAAUAUAUGUUAAGUGGAAAAGGAUGUGGCGUUGCCCAGACAACUAGGAUGUUGGCUUAGAAGCAGCCAUCAUUUAAAGAGUGCGUAAUAGCUCACUAGUCGAGUGACACUGCGCCGAAAAUGUACCGGGGCUAAACAUAUUACCGAAGCUGUGGAUUGUCCUUUGGACAAUGGUAGGAGAGCGUUCUAAGG
rnacentral:rRNA from 1 species